rnacentral:rRNA from 1 species
UACGUAGGUGGCAAGCGUUGUCCGGAUUUACUGGGCGUAAAGAGCGCGCAGGCGGUUGUUUAAGUCGAAUGUGAAAGCCCCGGGCUCAACCUGGGAAUGGCAGUGGAAACUAGGGGACUGGAAUCUGGCAGAGGGGGGUGGAAUGCCGCGUGUAGCAGUGAAAUGCGUAGAGAUGCGGCGGAACACCGAUGGCGAAGGCAGCCCCCUGGGCUGAGAUUGACGCUCAGGCACGAAAGCGUGGGGAGCAAACAGG